GAUAUUACAUUGAUUUCUUCAAACAACAAAAGAUCUACUUCACAUAUUUUGCUCUAAGUUGAAUAUAACCUCCAUCAUAAUAAUCAAUAGCUAAGGAGAAAUGUUCCAGCAUUGUACCUUAUAGCAGAGGACGAGCCAACAAUUGAUACUUUGCCAACUUUUUUGGGCAAAAUUCUCUGUGUCCCAGUAAGAUAGUUGUCACAUCAACCACCACACCUUCGCCUUUCUGUCUUAUAUGAUAUAGUUCAAUAUAAAUCCACCUCAGAAUUUUCCUCACUGACAAAAUAACAUUUUCCAUUCCAACAAUUACCAUUACAUGGGAAAUGCAUAUAUUAUUUGAUGUUUCUUUUAGCCCCUAUUACACUGUCUGGAUAUAUUAAGUAAAGAACAAGUAGUUGUAAAUAAGCUACUACGUACCAGAAUCAUCCAUUUUUGAAUGCAAAGAAGAGCACCAACCCUUUCCUUUCUUUCACGCAGUUCCAUUGAUGUAAGAUAUUAGAUUACUUGUGUCUUCAUCCGCAAUCUUACGUCGGGUAUCAUUUCUUUCGACAACCGUCCUUCCUCUGCUGCCUGCUGAGCACAAACAUAGAC